rnacentral:rRNA from 1 species
AUUGAACGCUGGCGGCAGGCCUAACACAUGCAAGUCGAGCGGAUGAAAGGAGCUUGCUCCUGGAUUCAGCGGCGGACGGGUGAGUAAUGCCUAGGAAUCUGCCUGAUAGUGGGGGACAACGUUUCGAAAGGAACGCUAAUACCGCAUACGUACUACGGGGGAAAGCAGGGGACCUUCGGGCCUUGCGCUAUCAGAUGAGCCUAGGUCGGAUUAGCUAGUUGGUGAGGUACGGGCUCACCAAGGCGACGAUCCGUAACUGGUCUGAGAGGAUGAUCAGUCACACUGGAACUGAGACACGGUCCAGACUCCUACGGGAGGCAGCAGUGGGGAAUAUUGGACAAUGGGCGAAAGCAUGAUCCAGCCAUGCCGCGUGUGUGAAGAAGGUCUUCGGAUUGUAAAGCACUUUAAGUUGGGAGGAAGGGUUGUAGAUUAAUACUCUGCAAUUUUGACGUUACCGACAGAAUAAGCACCGGCUAACUCUGUGCCAGCCGCCGCCGUAAAAC